UUUGCAAUUCAAGCGAUAGAGAGGUGCUUGCACCUCUUGAGAGCGGCGGACGGGUGAGUAAUACCUAGGAAUCUGCCUGGUAGUGGGGGAUAACGUUCGGAAACGGACGCUAAUACCGCAUACGUCCUACGGGAGAAAGCAGGGGACCUUCGGGCCUUGCGCUAUCAGAUGAGCCUAGGUCGGAUUAGCUAGUUGGUGAGGUAAUGGCUCACCAAGGCUACGAUCCGUAACUGGUCUGAGAGGAUGAUCAGUCACACUGGAACUGAGACACGGUCCAGACUCCUACGGGAGGCAGCAGUGGGGAAUAUUGGACAAUGGGCGAAAGCCUGAUCCAGCCAUGCCGCGUGUGUGAAGAAGGUCUUCGGAUUGUAAAGCACUUUAAGUUGGGAGGAAGGGCAUUAACCUAAUACGUUAGUGUCUUGACGUUACCGACAGAAUAAGCACCGGCUAACUCUGUGCCAGCAGCCGCGGUAAUACAGAGGGUGCAAGCGUUAAUCGGAAUUACUGGGCGUAAAGCGCGCGUAGGUGGUUUGUUAAAUUGAAUGUGAAAUCCCCGGGCUCAACCUGGGAACUGCAUCCAAAACUGGCAAGCUAGAGUAUGGUAGAGGGUAGUGGAAUUUCCUGUGUAACCGUGAAAUGCGUAGAUAUAA
rnacentral:rRNA from 1 species